UGCAAGUCGAGCGAACAGAUAAGGAGCUUGCUCCUUUGACGUUAGCGGCGGACGGGUGAGUAACACGUGGGUAACCUACCUAUAAGACUGGGAUAACUUCGGGAAACCGGAGCUAAUACCGGAUAACAUUUGGAACCGCAUGGUUCUAAAGUGAAAGAUGGUUUUGCUAUCACUUAUAGAUGGACCCGCGCCGUAUUAGCUAGUUGGUAAGGUAACGGCUUACCAAGGCGACGAUACGUAGCCGACCUGAGAGGGUGAUCGGCCACACUGGAACUGAGACACGGUCCAGACUCCUACGGGAGGCAGCAGUAGGGAAUCUUCCGCAAUGGGCGAAAGCCUGACGGAGCAACGCCGCGUGAGUGAUGAAGGGUUUCGGCUCGUAAAACUCUGUUAUUAGGGAAGAACAAAUGUGUAAGUAACUGUGCACGUCUUGACGGUACCUAAUCAGAAAGCCACGGCUAACUACGUGCCAGCAGCCGCGGUAAUACGUAGGUGGCAAGCGUUAUCCGGAAUUAUUGGGCGUAAAGCGCGCGUAGGCGGUUUCUUAAGUCUGAUGUGAAAGCCCACGGCUCAACCGUGGAGGGUCAUUGGAAACUGGGAAACUUGAGUGCAGAAGAGGAAAGUGGAAUUCCAUGUGUAGCGGUGAAAUGCGCAGAGAUAUGGAGGAACACCAGUGGCGAAGGCGACUUUCUGGUCUGUAACUGACGCUGAUGUGCGAAAGCGUGGGGAUCAAACAGGAUUAGAUACCCUGGUAGUCCACGCCGUAAACGAUGAGUGCUAAGUGUUAGGGGGUUUCCGCCCCUUAGUGCUGCAGCUAACGCAUUAAGCACUCCGCCUGGGGAGUACGACCGCAAGGUUGAAACUCAAAGGAAUUGACGGGGACCCGCACAAGCGGUGGAGCAUGUGGUUUAAUUCGAAGCAACGCGAAGAACCUUACCAAAUCUUGACAUCCUUUGAAAACUCUAGAGAUAGAGCUUUCCCCUUCGGGGGACAAAGUGACAGGUGGUGCAUGGUUGUCGUCAGCUCGUGUCGUGAGAUGUUGGGUUAAGUCCCGCAACGAGCGCAACCCUUAAGCUUAGUUGCCAUCAUUAAGUUGGGCACUCUAGGUUGACUGCCGGUGACAAACCGGAGGAAGGUGGGGAUGACGUCAAAUCAUCAUGCCCCUUAUGAUUUGGGCUACACACGUGCUACAAUGGACAAUACAAAGGGCAGCUAAACCGCGAGGUCAUGCAAAUCCCAUAAAGUUGUUCUCAGUUCGGAUUGUAGUCUGCAACUCGACUACAUGAAGCUGGAAUCGCUAGUAAUCGUAGAUCAGCAUGCUACGGUGAAUACGUUCCCGGGUCUUGUACACACCGCCCGUCACACCACGAGAGUUUGUAACACCCGAAGCCGGUGGAGUAACCAUUUAUGGAGCUAGCCGUC
rnacentral:rRNA from 1 species